UUUUUUUUUUUUUUUUUUUUUUUUUUGUCUUUUUGUCUUUUUGCCUUUUCUAGGGCCAUUCCUGAAGCACAUGGAGAUUCCCAGGCUAAGGGUCUAAUAGGAGCUGUAGCCACCAGCCUAUUCCAGAGCCACAGCAACAUGGGAUGUGAGCUGCGUCUGCAACCCACACCACAGCUUACGGCAACGCCGGAUCCUUAACCCACUGAGCGAGCCUGGGAACCUCCAUAUGUCGCAGGAGCAGCCCUAAAAAAGGCACCAAAAAAAACACACAGAAAAAAAGAUUAAAUACUAUAAACUAAGUUAUAUAAUCAAAACAAUCCUGAGAGGUAGAUUCUAUUACCAUCUUCAUUUUACAAAUAGGAGUAAGGUUCAGAGAGGACAAGCUCCCAUAGCUAAGGAACAGUCUGGAUCUGAAGCCACAUUUUCUGUUUAAUACUAAAAUCUAUACUGCUUAAGCCAAGCACAGUGACACAAUGGGAGUACAUAUCUUAUAUGCAUUGCAACCUAUUUACUGUAUUGUACUGCAUCCCAUAAUUCUACAUCAAGAGUUCUUUGAUGCCCAAAACAAUUGCUUAUACACUUUCAUUUCCUAAAAGCAAACUGGGCUUAAUAAACAUCUGAUGAAAAAAUGGAUAAGUAAACAGAUGAUUACUAUAGAAGCUACAAAACUAAUGAAAAAAAUAAUAACAGAUCAGCAAUUCUAAAACCUUUGGCCCUAGGACCUCUCUAUACUCUUAAAAAUUCCUGAGGACUCACAGACUUCGUUUAGAUGUGUUAUAUCUACCUAUAUAUCACAUGUAUAAAGAAAUUGGAAAAUAUUAAUUCAUUUUAAAACAACAAUUAAAAAUUGGAGUUCCCGUCAUGCCUCAGUGGUUAACAAAUCCGAAUAGGAACCAAAAGGUUGCGGGUUCAAUCCCUGGCCUCGCUCAGUGGGUUAAGGAUCCAGUGUUGCCGUGAGCUGUGGUGAAGGUUGCAGACGUGGCUCGGAUCCCGUGUUGCUGUGGCUGUGGCGUAGGCUGGCAGCUACAGCUCUGAUCAGACCCCUAGCCUGGGAACCUCCAUAUGCCGUGGAAGCGGCCCUAGAAAAGGCAAAAACACACACACACAAAAAAAAAAAUUACACAUUAACACAAGUAACAUACCAUGUUAACACUAGUCAAAAGGAAGCUGGAAUGACAAUUUUAAAAUCAAACCAAUUAGAUUUCAUAUUAAAGAAUAUUACCAGGAUAAAGAGGAUCAUUUCAUGAUGAUAAAGAGGCCAAUAAAUUAAGGAACUAUAACAAUCCUAAUUGUUCACAUUCCUAGUAAAAGAGCAUCUGCAGAAGACAUGAAUAUUUACAUUAAAAAAAUCAAAUGGACUAAAGAAAACUAAUAAAUGAGUUUUAUAACGUUGUAGACUGCAAGAUCAAUAUAUAAAAUACCCCAUUUCAGAAAUAAGCAAUCAUAAAUUUAAAAAAAUUUAAAUACCAUUUACAAUAACAUUAAACUAUAAAAUACUUAGGAAUAAACCUGACAAAAUAUAUGUAAGACUUAUACACUGAAAUUUUACAUUACUGAAAUUUUACAUUACUGAGAUAAAUUAAAGAAUGGAAAAAUAUAUUUUGUUCAUAAAUCAAG
rnacentral:lncRNA from 1 species